GACGAACGCUGGCGGCGUGCCUAAUACAUGCCAGUCGAACGCUGAAGGAGGAGCUUGCUUCUCCGGAUGAGUUGCGAACGGGUGAGUAACGCGUAGGUAACCUGCCUGGUAGCGGGGGAUAACUAUUGGAAACGAUAGCUAAUACCGCAUAACAGUAGAUGUUGCAUGACAUUUGCUUAAAAGGUGCAAUUGCAUCACUACCAGAUGGACCUGCGUUGUAUUAGCUAGUUGGUGAGGUAACGGCUCACCAAGGCGACGAUACAUAGCCGACCUGAGAGGGUGAUCGGCCACACUGGGACUGAGACACGGCCCAGACUCCUACGGGAGGCAGCAGUAGGGAAUCUUCGGCAAUGGACGGAAGUCUGACCGAGCAACGCCGCGUGAGUGAAGAAGGGUUUCGGAUCGUAAAGCUCUGUUGUAAGAGAAGAACGAGUGUGAGAGUGGAAAGUUCACACUGUGACGGUAGCUUACCAGAAAGGGACGGCUAACUACGUG
rnacentral:rRNA from 1 species